CACGUAGGGCGCAAGCGUUGUCCGGAAUUAUUGGGCGUAAAGAGCGUGUAGGCGGCUUUACAGGUCCGUUGUGAAAACUCGAGGCUCAACCUCGAGACGCCGGUGGAAACCGUAAGGCUAGAGUCCGGAAGAGGAGAGUGGAAUUCCUGGUGUAGCGGUGAAAUGCGCAGAUAUCAGGAAGAACACCAAUGGCGAAGGCAGCUCUCUGGGACGGUACUGACGCUGAGACGCGAAAGCGUGGGGAGCGAACAGG
rnacentral:rRNA from 1 species